GACAGAGGGUGCAAACGUUGUUCGGAAUUACUGGGCGUAAAGCGUGUGUAGGCGGCCACGUAAGUCGGGUGUGAAAGCCCCAGGCUCAACCUGGGAAGUGCACUCGAUACUGCAUGGCUUGAGUAUCGGAGAGGUUGGUGGAAUUCUCGGUGUAGAGGUGAAAUUCGUAGAUAUCGAGAGGAACACCGGUGGCGAAGGCGGCCAACUGGACGAAUACUGACGCUGAGACACGAAAGCGUGGGGAGCAAACAGG
rnacentral:rRNA from 1 species